CCCUCACCCCUUCGUCCCCACCCCCUAUGGGAUCGUGAUAGUCCCCGCGUGCGCCCCCCGCGGCGGUCACGGCUGUGCUGGGCCCACGCGUGUCCCUGACCCCGCCGCCCGCUGAGCGGCCCCCGAGCUCCGCAUCCCUGCGGGAGGAGGAGAGACGCGCCGGGCGGAGCGGGGCUGGGCCGAGGCCAGGCAGGGAGCGCGGCGAGCCCGGCGGAGCGGAGCCGAGCCUGCCGGUUUCUGCUACCCUGGCUGCAUACUCGCUAUCAAAUUCCCCCAAGGGAGAGAAAGCAAGCAAACGCCUUAGAGUUAUCUACGAAAUUCACAAAAAGUCACUUCUUUGUAAAUUAUUAUGUGCCAGGAAAACAUCAAGAGAAAUAGUCUCAAGAACACAGGCAAAGGAAUCUGGGAGAAGGAAUAUGGGUCUUCAAAACAAAUGCUGUAGUGCUAUAGGCAGUAAAUCUCAUUAACGGGACUUUGUGUCAAGGCAGAAACCAGUAUAGUGACAAUAAUAAUCCCAUUUAUUUACAUAGCGCCAAAUAUAUCGUUGCCACUUUCCGAUAAAACAAAGGCAGAUUCCUCAAUGGCAGAGGGCGGAUCGAAGGACCCAAUCAGUUUCUUCCAUCCCUAACUUCUGUGAAUCUCAGAUAAAUAUACCACUUUGGAGAGAGGGGAGUGGGGGAAUCUCCGAUCUCCAUUAGACACUCAGCUCCAAGUUAGAGACAACAAGCGUUUCCCCUUCAGGCCCCAGAGGAAGGAAAUCAAUGCAUCUGCAGAGAAAGAAGAAGCCAUUGAGUUGUUUUGAAUGAAAAUGUGAUUGGGUUGUGGGGUUUUUUAGAGGAUUGAUCUAAAAGGAGAGUGAGGAGACAAGAAAGGGAGACAGAAGACAUUGGCCUGCUGCUGUCUGACUGGCAGAUUCCAGUUAACACCUUAUCAGCAGAGCAGCAGGCAGCAGCAAAUCCUCGCCCGCUGAAGCUACACAGCGAAAGGAAGAGGGGAGGGUGUUCUGUAACCAGGGACGACAACAGCAACACUCCACAGAGCUACCGGGAGGAUAGAGAGAGAGACACACACACAAUAACCUUCCUUCCCAGGCUGUGCAAGCAAGGGCAGGGGAGGAAAAACAAAUCCACCUGCAGUGUUUCAUUUUUUAUGAAGAGAAACCAUGACUGAAAUGUAACCACAGCUCUGGUCGCUGUAAAAAAACCGAACCCCAAAGCCCUCUCCCCAAGUGUAAUGUAGCAAUUCUGUUGGUUAGCGUUAUUCUUCAAUUGAAGAGUGGGGUAAACUCCUCCAGGACUGAAAUCCCAUCUCCCAGAAGGUGGGAGCACCACUAAAACAAAAGCAAUUCUUCCCUCUCCCCCUUACUCCAUUGCUGCUGCUGCUUUUGUGUUUUUUAAAGAAACAUUGUUCUAGGAAGGAGAGGAGAUUGGAAGAAGAACCCGAGGUGAUUUUGAAUUGUUUUUAAAG
rnacentral:lncRNA from 1 species